AUGGAACCACCGGAUCCACCACGGAAAAGGACACUGCCAUGUGAGGAAGGUGAUGUCAGCGGAAAGAACAAAAAAGCUAGAUCCAUCGUAGCAAACGGCGAAUCCGACGAAGGGGACGGUCCACGAGGCCGUAUCACUUCUCCCGGCGCGGCUGCUCCAUUGGGCGUGGCUUCCGAAGAGAAUGAGUUGCCGCCAGAAGCCAAGGGAAAAAGGAAGCGAGUUCUAGCCAACGAUUCCAGCGGAGGGGGGCCGAGCAUGCGUAGAUCUCGCCAUACACUUGUUCUACUGCCCGACUACCAGCCCCAUGAAGGUCAGGCGGUCCCAGCUGAACCGCCAGUACUCCUUGCAGAAUCUGAUGUCCUGCGUGGUAGGGUGGUGAAGUGUACUUGGAGCUGUCAUCAAAUCCUCCAUCUAGGCUUAAGAUCCUACAGUUUGGUGGAUAGAACUGGCAUGGCGAGCUUGUUGACAGCUGCAUGGACUGGUGAGGCAGAUAGGAGGUUUUAUGCUUGGCUGCUUAGUAGAUUUAGGUGGGAGGACAUGAGAUUCACAUUCCCUGACGGGCAAUAUAGAUAUUUCAGCUCCAGGUCGGUCGUUAGGACUUUGGGUCUGAGAAACAGUGGGCGCCAAGUGAGUAUGGUAAAAUUGAAGGUAAAGCAUAGGCAGAAUUACACUCUCCGCAUCAGAACAAUACUAGGGAUUGAAACUAGAAGUCACGCCAGGGACGGGGGGUUAACAAUUGGAGCUGUACAUGAUACCAUCACACGAAUGUUGGCUUCAGGAGUUGGUAACUACCACCCCAGGGCAUUUGAGAUGGCAUUCUCUCUAUUAGCAGCAGGUACAUGUGUUGGCCCCAAGCAAUCAUACUCGUCGAUCCCCUAG
rnacentral:rRNA from 1 species